rnacentral:rRNA from 1 species
AACGAACGCUGGCGGCAUGCCUAACACAUGCAAGUCGAACGAGAUCUUCGGGUCUAGUGGCGCACGGGUGCGUAACGCGUGGGAAUCUGCCCUUUGGUUCGGAAUAACCGUUGGAAACGACUGCUAAUACCGGAUGAUGACGAAAGUCCAAAGAUUUAUCGCCAGAGGAUGAGCCCGCGUAGGAUUAGCUAGUUGGUGUGGUAAAGGCGCACCAAGGCGACGAUCCUUAGCUGGUCUGAGAGGAUGAUCAGCCACAAUGGGACUGAGACACGGCCCAGACUCCUACGGGAGGCAGCAGUGGGGAAUAUUGGACAAUGGGCGAAAGCCUGAUCCAGCAAUGCCGCGUGAGUGAUGAAGGCCUUAGGGUUGUAAAGCUCUUUUACCCGGGAUGAUAAUGACAGUACCGGGAGAAUAAGCUCCGGCUAACUCCGUGCCAGCCGCCGCAGUAA